rnacentral:rRNA from 1 species
GAUGAACGCUGGCGGCGUGCCUAAUACAUGCAAGUCGAGCGAACAGAUAAGGAGCUUGCUCCUUUGACGUUAGCGGCGGACGGGUGAGUAACACGUGGGGAACCUACCUAUAAGACUGGGAUAACUUCGGGAAACCGGAGCUAAUACCGGAUAACAUUUGGAACCGCAUGGUUCUAAAGUGAAAGAUGGUUUUGCUAUCACUUAUAGAUGGACCCGCGCCGUAUUAGCUAGUUGGUAAGGUAACGGCUUACCAAGGCAACGAUACGUAGCCGACCUGAGAGGGUGAUCGGCCACACUGGAAGUGAGACACGGUCCAGACUCCUACGGGAGGCAGCAGUAGGGAAUCUUCCGCAAUGGGCGAAAGCCUGACGGAGCAACGCCGCGUGAGUGAUGAAGGGUUUCGGCUCGUAAAACUCUGUUAUUAGGGAAGAACAAAUGUGUAAGUAACUGUGCACGUCUUGACGGUACCUAAUCAGAAAGCCACGGCUAACUACGUG